GAUGAACGCUGGCGGCGUGCCUAAUACAUGCAAGUCGAGCGAACAGAUGAGGAGCUUGCUCCUCUGACGUUAGCGGCGGACGGGUGAGUAACACGUGGAUAACCUACCUAUAAGACUGGGAUAACUUCGGGAAACCGGAGCUAAUACCGGAUAAUAUAUUGAACCGCAUGGUUCAAUAGUGAAAGACGGUUUUGCUGUCACUUAUAGAUGGAUCCGCGCCGCAUUAGCUAGUUGGUAAGGUAACGGCUUACCAAGGCAACGAUGCGUAGCCGACCUGAGAGGGUGAUCGGCCACACUGGAACUGAGACACGGUCCAGACUCCUACGGGAGGCAGCAGUAGGGAAUCUUCCGCAAUGGGCGAAAGCCUGACGGAGCAACGCCGCGGGAGUGAUGAAGGUCUUCGGAUCGUAAAACGCUGUUAUUAGGGAAGAACAAAUGUGUAAGUAACUAUGCACGUCUUGACGGUACCGAAUCAGAAAGCCACGGCUAACUACGU
rnacentral:rRNA from 1 species